UACGGAGGAUCCAAGCGUUAUCCGGAAUUACUGGGCGUAAAGAGUUUCGUAGGUGGCAUAGUAAGCAGGUAGUGAAAGCGUGUGGCUCAACCAUACUCACAUUAUUUGAACUGCUAAGCUAGAGGAUGAGAGAGGUUAUUGGAAUUCCCUGUGUAGGAGUGAAAUCCGUAGAUAUAGGGAGGAACACCGAUGGCGUAGGCAGAUAACUGGCUCAUUCCUGACACUCAGGCACGAAAGCGUGGGGAGCAAACGGG
rnacentral:rRNA from 1 species